rnacentral:rRNA from 1 species
UACGGAGGAUCCGAGCGUUAUCCGGAUUUAUUGGGUUUAAAGGGUGCGUAGGCGGCCUAUUAAGUCAGGGGUGAAAGACGGUAGCUCAACUAUCGCAGUGCCUUUGAUACUGAUGGGCUUGAAUACACUAGAGGUAGGCGGAAUGAGACAAGUAGCGGUGAAAUGCAUAGAUAUGUCUCAGAACACCGAUUGCGAAGGCAGCUUACUAUGGUGCAAUUGACGCUGAGGCACGAAAGCGUGGGGAUCAAACAGG